rnacentral:piRNA from 1 species
UAUGAAUCCUGAGCAAAACAAGUAGG